GGAAAAGAAAAUUUUGAGCUAAGAUACAUAGUUGUUAAGACAAAGAAAAGAAAAGAAAAGAGUGUUCAUUGGGUAAGAGAUGAAAAUGGGUGUAUAUUUGGGAUUGAGAUGAAGAAAAGAAAGGGUAGAACUUAAAAAUUGUCUAGGAAAAGGGUACAAUGAUGAGAACCGAUUUAUGUAUGCAUUAAUUGCUUCUUUUCUUAGAUAAAUUUUGCAUAAUGAUCAAGCUCCUAUUCUUGAGUGUAAGUCACCAUAGCAAAAUGUAUUUGGACCCUUCUCAUUCUUCACAUUAAGCCAUUUUUUCUCACCAAACCAAACGAUUUGGACCAAUUGGCAAUUUGCGAGAAUUCACUUAUGAUAUUUCUUAUUGAAUGUGAGAGUUGGUUGAUUUGAGGAUUCAUGAUAAUGAGUUAAAAGAUCAAAGGAAUUGAUAGGCCUAGAGAAGUUAGAGCUAAUAAAAACAUUUUGCUCUUGCUAUUUGGUAUGAUUUUGUAAGGAUAUCACAACGAUGGCAUUGAAGAGUUUCUUAAGGUCAUGAAUUUCCAUUUGUGUAUUGAAACAUCACUUCCCAUGUUCUUGAAAGUUUACUUGAGGACAAGUAAAGGACUAGUGUGGGGGAGUUGAUGUGUUGUGAUUUUGCAUAGUUUUAGCUUUGUUAUUUCAUAUAUAUUCAUGCAUUAACCUUACAUUUAUUUGCAUUUAGAGUCUAUUGCAUGUACAUUUGCAUCUUGUAGGUGUUGGAUGAAUUGUUUGGAGUUUUGGAGGUGAUUAGAGCACAAAAGGAGCUUUCGAGGAGUCUUGAACCGAACGUGUGAAAGACAAGCAUGGAUGAAGGUCUUAAAGAUAUCUUUUGAAACUUGUCUUUUGGGAAGACAUGGUAAAUUGAGUUAGCUUUACAAUGGAGGUGGUUUCAAGUCGUUUGGAGCUGUAUUGAGGGAUUUAUGAUCAAAAUACUACACACAUAUCAGUGUGUGCAACAUGGAGAAAGUGGAGAAAACUUUAAUGAGUGAGUUUUAUCUCUUUAAAGCUUGCAACAUGGGGGAUGGGUUGUCUAUCAUGAGUUUGGUGGCUCUUUUGGCCUAACUUUCUCUACCUUUUCUGAAGAGGCAAGACUACUUUGGCCAUAUGAAGGGGCAAAAGGUGUUCUAUAAUGGAAGAAAGUGGAGAAUAACUUUUAUGAGUGUGUUUUAUGCUUUAUGCUUUCACAUGAUGGAUGUGUUGUCAUCCUCCUUUACUUAGGCUAUAAAAGAGACUGCAAGGGGAAGGAGGAAGACACAAUACACAGAGUACAAUACAACAAAGAGUAGAGAGUGAAAGUUUUAUAGUUUCAUAUUUUGUAUUUUGAGAGUUUGAGAGAAAACAUUUGUUCUUGGAGUGUUCUUGAAGUUUAUGUUAUAAAGUCUUGUUUUCCUUUAGCCAUUCUCUUCAUCUAAUUUCUGUUUCUUGUUUUCAUAUAUCAUAUCAUCUUGGUUAUGCUUCUAUCCAUCAUGGGAUUAAGUGUAAACAAGAUGAUUAGUGAGUAAUCACCCUUAGGAUCAAUGGGUUAGGUAGAUUAAUGGGUGAUUAGGGAAGAGUUAAGGUGUUCUAAUGGUUAAAUGCUUAGAUUUCUAUGCUUACUAAGUAUUCUUAAUGCUAGAUUAAUUUUGGCCAUUUUAAUCUAGAUUCUAAGUGUUUGUAGGGCAUCGAAAGUGUUUGCAUAAUGCUUGAAUGGACCUAGUAAAGCUCUAGCUUGAAUAACCAAGGAAUUGUUGUUAGGAUUGCUAGAUGGUUAGUAGACUAGAACUUAAUGUAUGUUUGAGUGAACAAAACGAACGGAAGUUGAUGUUUAGUUCAUAAUUGCAUAAGGGUUUCUACCACGGGAGUGGAUUAAUCUAAAUUGAAUGAAAUCUAGACCUAUAGAAAGUUAAGAUUAUUUGAAGUUAGACGCCUUGAUUUA